ensembl:snRNA U6 U6 spliceosomal RNA
GUGCUCGCUUCGGCGGCACAUAUACUAAAAUUGGAACGAUACAGAGAAGAUUAGCAUGGCCCCUGUGCAAGGAUGACAUGCAAAUUUGUGAAGCGUUCCAUAUUUUA